GGGUGAGAUAACAUUCGAAGAAACACCUUCUGACUUUCUCCUUGAAGUAAUGGACUGGCCUGUGCAGAUUUCCAGCUGGUAAAAAGGUAAAACAUCCAAGACAUCUAAGAAUAUCACCUCCCAAGGCCUCCGACCUUCCAGGAAUACAGUUCCUGCAGCUCUUCAAGGGGAUGGUUCCUCCUCGCCCCUCAGGUCACCUCCUCUGAGGGGCCUUCCCCACCCAUCCUAUCCAGACACAUGUAAUCUUUAACAUGUAAAUGACAGAACACAAGGAAACCAGAAUAACAAAUGGCAACUUCCAAAGAUGAUUCCAAAAUUCAGAACACACCAGAACCCAGAAGUUCUAUUAUUCCGGAGCACAACAGAUACAAUGUGAGACUCAACAUUACACAUAAAAGGAAGCUGGGCGUGAUAC